rnacentral:rRNA from 1 species
CCUACGGGAGGCAGCAGUGGGGAAUAUUGCACAAUGGGGGAAACCCUGAUGCAGCGACGCCGCGUGAGUUAAGAAGUAUUUCGUUACGUAAAGCUCUAUCAGCAGGGAAGAAAAUGACGGUACCUGACUAAGAAGCCCCGGCUAACUACGUGCCAGCAGCCGCGGUAAUACGUAGGGGGCAAGCGUUAUCCGGAGUUACUGGGUGUAAAGGGAGCGUAGACGGCAGGGCAAUUCUUGAGUGAAACGCCAGGGCUGAACCCCCGAAAUGCGUUGGAAACUGUGCGGCUGGAGUGCAGGAGAGGUAAGGGGAAUUCCUAGUGUAGCGGUGAAAUGCGUAGAUAUUAGGAGGAACAGCAGUGGCGAAGGCGGCUUACUGGACUGUAACUGACGUUGAGGCUCGAAAGCGUGGGGAGCAAACAGGAUUAGAUACCCGGGUAGUC